UACGAAGGGUGCUAGCGUUGUUCGGAAUCACUGGGCGUAAAGCGCGCGUAGGCGGCUUGGCAAGUCAGAGGUGAAAGCCUGGAGCUUAACUCCAGAAUUGCCUUUGAAACUGCCAAGCUAGAGUGUCGGAGGGGAUAGCGGAAUUGCUAAUGUAGAGGUGAAAUUCGUAGAUAUUAGCAGGAACACCGGUGGCGAAGGCGGCUAUCUGGACGACAACUGACGCUGAGGCGCGAAAGCGUGGGGAUCAAACAGG
rnacentral:rRNA from 1 species